rnacentral:lncRNA from 1 species
GACACCUUGAUCUUGGACUUCACAGCCUCCAGAACUAACAUACUCAAGUGUCUCAGCUCAACAUUUGGAGAUGAGCCAUCCUCCUCUUAUUGUAAGAAAAGCUUGAAGGAGUAUUUUCACAGCGAUGGAACUGGAAGUUAAGGCAACUUCUAUCAGCAUCAAGAAAAGAAAAGAAGUAUUCACCACUUACGAAACAACAUCUCUCUUCUCAUCAAUAGUUUGAUUUACAGCAUCUACUGCAGAAGACCUCAAUAAUGCAUAAGAACAUCUGGAAGUACGGUAAUUUCAGCUAUCAGAGAUAAGAAUUGACACAGAACAGGAAUAGAUGCUGUGUAAGUCUCAUUAAAUUACCUGACUGAUGGAAUAAAUACACAGCCUAUAGCUCGGCAGUCCAUAGUAAACUGAACAAGGGUCUUGAUAUCUCAGAGUUCUGCUUAUUUACACAUGCCUUGGACUCUUCUCACAGAUAUGUAAAUUAUUCUGGUUAAAACUAAAUGCUAAAGUCUACACCAUUAGUCUUCCACUUCAUGAU